rnacentral:rRNA from 1 species
CCAGACUCCUACGGGAGGCAGCAGUGAGGAAUAUUGGUCAAUGGCCGAGAGGCUGAACCAGCCAAGUCGCGUGAGGGAAGACGGCCCUACGGGUUGUAAACCUCUUUUGUCGGGGAGCAAAGCGAGUCACGUGUGACUCAUUGAGAGUACCCGAAGAAAAAGCAUCGGCUAACUCCGUGCCAGCAGCCGCGGUAAUAAGGAGGAUGCGGGCGUUAUCCGGAUUUAUUGGGUUUAAAGGGUGCGCAGGCGGAGGUGCAAGUCAGCGGUAAAAUUUCGGGGCUCAACCCCGUCGUGCCGUUGAAACUGGCGUUCUUGAGUGAGCGAGAAGUAUGCGGAAUGCGUGGUGUAGCGGUGAAAUGCAUAGAUAUCACGCAGAACUCCGAUUGCGAAGGCAGCAUACCGGCGCCCAACUGACGCUGAAGCACGAAAGCGUGGGUAUCGAACAGGAUUAGAUACCCUGGUA